rnacentral:tRNA from 1 species
GCCGGUGUGGUGGAAUUGGCAGACGCGCCGGACUCAAAAUCCGGUGGGGGCAACUCCGUGCGGGUUCGACUCCCGCCACCGGCA